UACGAAGGGAGCUAGCGUUGUUCGGAAUCACUGGGCGUAAAGCGCACGUAGGCGGAUUUGUAAGUCAGGGGUGAAAUCCCGGGGCUCAACCUCGGAACUGCCUUUGAUACUGCAAAUCUCGAGUCCGGGAGAGGUGAGUGGAACUGCGAGUGUAGAGGUGAAAUUCGUAGAUAUUCGCAAGAACACCAGUGGCGAAGGCGGCUCACUGGCCCGGUACUGACGCUGAGGUGCGAAAGCGUGGGGAGCAAACAGGG
rnacentral:rRNA from 1 species